rnacentral:rRNA from 1 species
CCGGAAACGGCCAGUAUUUCAAGGAGUCUUAUGCAGCCCAGGAUUCAGUUCGAUCUAGCAGCCAGCGGUACCGACGAUUCGAGUCGUAGUCUAGUUUAGUGGAAUAAAAAUAGCUACUUAUGUCGGACUACUGAUGAGGGGGUUAGAUCCAAAGAGACGGUCAUCCUAGAUUUUGCAGACCCAAGGCGAGCGAUCACCUGUUAACUGACAUGAUGACGAAGCUAGUACGAAUGGAUAGAGACCCCAGUAGUCACGCAGUAAUCGAUGAGUGCUAAAUGUUGAGAAAAGGUAAUGACUCUACAAUAUGUGAUUCGAGAAAAGGUAGUUCAAGAAAACUGUUUUCGAAAGAUUAUCUUUUUUUUGAAUUACUGUAAGUUUUUGCUACGUUGAAAUUGGUUUCAUGGCGUAAAAUUCAUUUGAAUGCAAUGACACGCCAACAACGUAAAAACCUCAAGUGUUACAGCUAACGCGUUAAGCACUCCGCCUGGGGAGUACGGUCGCAAGACUAAAACUCAAAGGAAUUGGCGGGGAUUUAUACAAGCGGUGGAACAUGUGGUUUAAUUCGAUAAUACGCGCAAAACCUUACCAGUUCUUGACAGCUUGGUAUUCGUACCAAGCACAGGUGUUGCAUGGCUGUCGUCAGUUCGUGUUGUGAGAUGUUGGGUUAAGUCCUUUAACGAACGUAACCUUUGUUUUCAGUAGGGAGAUACGAGAUUGUAUUAUACCCUGAAAAUACUGCAGGUAAAAAGCCUGAGGAAGGUGAAGAUGACGUCAAGUUUCAUGGCCCUUAUGAACUGGGCUACACACAUGUUACAAUGGCAACUACAGAGGGAAGCAAUGAUGAAAGUCGGAGCAAAGCCGAAAAGGUUGCCUUAGUUCGGAUUGUAGGCUGCAACUCGCCUACAUGAAGUUGGAAUCGCUAGUAAUCGCGGAUCAGAACGCCGCGGUGAAUAUGUUCCCGGGCCUUGUACACACCGCCCGUCACGUCAUGAAAGUCGGUAACACCCGAAGCCGGUGGCCUAACCCUUGUGGAGGGAGCUGUCGAAGGUGGGAUCGGCGAUUGGGACGAAGUCGUAACAAGGUAA